rnacentral:rRNA from 1 species
AACCUGUUUUCUCAGGAAAAGACGUCUCGUGUAUAACACUCUUCGGAAGUGCGUCCUAGAAAACCGCUAUUCCUGCCAAGCGCUCGGGUAUAUCGUAGUGGGCAACGGUGUCCGAUUAUGAGGCGUGAAGCGCCCGCCAGCGCGUCAUUAAGUCUGUGGUUAAGGCAAGCUCACCUGGUUCGCACCGAAACUGGUUACUAGCAGAAAACGAAAUGCAAUUCACGGUACCGUGAGAAUGCCGUCAGAUAUUGGGAGGUAACCCGAGUGAGCGAAGCGACUUUCUGAGCUUGUAACUGACGCUAAGCCAGAAAGCGGUGGGAAGCAAACAGGAUUAGAUACCUGGUAGUCCAGCCGUACACGAUGAAUGCUAGGUGUUAGGGGUUUCGAUACCCUUGGGUGCCGAAGUCACACAUUAAGCAUUCGCCUGGAGAGUACGGUCGCAAGACUGAAACUCAAAGGAAUUGACGGGGACCCGCACAAGCAGUGGAGUAUGUGGUUUAAUUGGAAGCAACGCGAAGAACCUUACCAGGUCUUGACAUCCCUCUGACCGGUCUAGAGAUAGGCCUUUCCUUCGGGACAGAGGAGACAGGUGGUGCAUGGUUGUCGUCAGCUCGUGUCGUGAGAUGUUGGGUUAAGUCCCGCAACGAGCGCAACCCUUGAUUUUAGUUGCCAGCACUUGGGGUGGGCACUCUAGAAUGACUGCCGGUGACAAACCGGAGGAAGGCGGGGAUGACGUCAAAUCAUCAUGCCCCUUAUGACCUGGGCUACACACGUACUACAAUGGCCAGUACAACGGGAAGCGAAGCCGCGAGGUGGAGCCAAUCCUAUCAAAGCUGGUCUCAGUUCGGAUUGCAGGCUGCAACUCGCCUGCAUGAAGUCGGAAUUGCUAGUAAUCGCGGAUCAGCAUGCCGCGGUGAAUACGUUCCCGGGUCUUGUACACACCGCCCGUCACACCACGAGAGUUUACAACACCGGAAGUCGGUGAGGUAACCGCAAGGAGCCUGCCGCCGAAGGUGGGGUAGAUGAUUAGGUGAAGUCGUUUACAAGGUACCCGUAAGCUUG